CAAAAGCGUCUCCUCCCGCUUUGGGACUCAGUCUCCCGGCUGGCCACUAGGGGGCGCCCCCGCGCUGGCCCUAGGGAGUGUGGGUCCGGCUUCGGGGCUGUCCAGGAGCCACGUCACUACUAAAGGCAGAGGCGCGCGGGAGCUAAGACAGGUCAUGCCUCUCUGAGCCCAGCUUCCGCCUCGGCGAAAUGGGGAAGAGCGUGCUUCACCCCCAGCGUGGCUGGGAACAUACAGGGAUGCAGGUACUUUCAUGAUAACGACUGGGACUGCACCAGGGCCACACAGGUGCUCACUCUGCCCAAGACCAAGCACAAGAUCCCAGAGGAAGUUCACACACAGACUAAUUCAGGAUCCUGACAACACAGCCCUGACGAGAAACUCUUGGGUGUCUUCACCUUCAUCCUCAUCAUCUCUAUUAUGUUUUCCCUCCAUUAUGAGUAUAUCCCUGAGACUGAGCCAGGAGGUCUGGUCCCAGCUGGGAGGACAAGUUGUUAUAUGCACUUGUCCCACCCAGGA